rnacentral:rRNA from 1 species
GACGAACGCUGGCGGCGUGCUUAACACAUGCAAGUCGAACGGAAAGGCCCUGCUUUUGUGUGGUGCUCGAGUGGCGAACGUGUGAGUAACCCGUGAGUCACCUUCCCUUUACUUUGUGAUAACUUCAGGAAACUGGGGCUAAUACCUGCUAGGAGCUCCUGCUGCAUGGUGGGGUUUGGAAAGUUUCGGCGGUUGGGGAUCGACUCGCGGCUUAUCAGCUUGUUGGUGGGGUAGUUGCUUACCAAGGCUUUGACGGGUAGCCGGCCUGAGAGGGUGACCGGCCACAUUGGGACUGAGAUACGGACCAGACGGCUACGGGAGACAGCAGGGGGGAAUAUUGCACAAUGGGCGGAAGCCUGAUGCAGCGACGCCGCGUGCGGGAUGAAGGCCUUCGGGUUGUAAACCGCUGUAGCCUGUGACGAAGCGUGAGUGACGGUAAUGGGUAAAGAAGCACCGGCUAACUACGUG